rnacentral:rRNA from 1 species
GACGAACGCUGGCGGCGUGCUUAACACAUGCAAGUCGAACGGAAAGGCCCUGCUUUUGUGGGGUGCUCGAGUGGCGAACGGGUGAGUAACACGUGAGUAACCUGCCCUUGACUUUGGGAUAACUUCAGGAAACUGGGGCUAAUACCGGAUAGGAGCUCCUGCUGCAUGGUGGGGGUUGGAAAGUUUCGGCGGUUGGGGAUGGACUCGGGGCUUAUCAGCUUGUUGGUGGGGUAGUGGCUUACCAAGGCUUUGACGGGUAGCCGGCCUGGGAGGGUGACCGGCCACAUUGGGACUGAGAUACGGACCAGACUCGUACGGGAGGCAGCAGUGGGGAAUAUUGCACAAUGGGCGGAAGCCUGAUGCAGCAACUCCGCGUGCGGGAUGACGGCCUUCGGGUUGUAAACCGCUUUCGCAUGUGACGAAGCGUGAGUGACGGUAAUGGGUAAAGAAGCACCGGCUAACUACGUG